rnacentral:rRNA from 1 species
UACGGGGGGGGCAAGCGUUGUUCGGAAUUACUGGGCGUAAAGGGCUCGUAGGCGGCCAACUAAGUCGGACGUGAAAUCCCUCGGCUUAACCGGGGAACUGCGUCUGAUACUGGAUGGCUUGAAUCCGGGAGAGGGAUGCGGAAUUCCAGGUGUAGCGGUGAAAUGCGUAGAUAUCUGGAGGAACACCGAUGGCGAAGGCAGGUCUCUGGGCCACUACUGACGCUGAGAAGCGAAAGCAUGGGGAGCGAACAGG